ensembl:lncRNA
GGCUAUUAUGACACGGCUCUUCUCAAUGCCGUGGAACGCUCCGUUCACUUGCAUGUGCCCUUCACAACAACGCCAGCUUCUUCGGUUGCUAAGCGACGUCAACGUCUUUGGCUAACUAUUUCUCUGCUGAUCAACACUACGUAUGGGUUCAGAGCUGGGAGUAAGGCACACAUUUGAAGUCACAAGCAAGUCUCAAGUCACUGCCAAUCCAAGUCCAGUCGAGGCCCUUCCCAUGGUCAAGCAAGUCAAAAUUCAGCUUACUGUGGCAACCUCACGCCGUCUGCCAUGGACAAGCCGCCCCAGCACCCUGAACAGCGCCCUCUCCGUGGGCAGGAGUGAGCCGGAGGCGUCGGGAGCGGAUUCCCUGCCGACCCCGAGAACGGACCUGACCAGGCGGCCCCUGCACCCUUAUUCCCCAUUGUGGAAGAACCUAAGUUCUAUUCCUUUUUCCGUUUUUCUUGAGCGGGACGAAAUAAAUCGUUGCACCGCAACCCUGUGUGAGCAUCUCAAUGAGAAAUCCCAGCCGACGACGAG